UUGUUGCUGGCCCUCAUAGGGGGCAUNNNNNNNNUCUGUUUACACAUCCGCUCACACCUGUGCACCCUCUGUAGGUCUAUGGGCUGGGGGACCCUGUCUUCCUUCUGUGGUUCUACGUCUCUACACACACACUGUAAUAAAGUUUUAUGGAAUGUGCAUCGCGUCUAACGCAAUACAAUACAACUUUCAGCAACGGAUCUCUUGGCUCUCGCAUCGAUGAAGAACGCAGCGAAAUGCGAUAAGUAAUGUGAAUUGCAGAAUUCAGUGAAUCAUCGAAUCUUUGAACGCACCUUGCGCCCCUUGGCUAUUCCGAGGGGCAUGCCUGUUUGAGUAUCAUGAACACCUCAACUCUCAUGGUUUGCCAUGAUGAGUUGGACUCUGGGGGUUUUGCUGGCCUGUGGUCGGCUCCUCUCAAAUUAAUCAGCCUCCCAGUGUUUGGUGGCAUCACGGGUGUGAUAAAUAUCUACGCUCGCUGUUGUCUGCCAGGUAACCUUUGGUCACAAAGGUUUGCUGGAGCUCACAGAUGUCUCUCCUCAGCGAGGACAGCUUUUUUAACGUUCGAUCUCAAAUCAGGUAGGACUACCCCCUGAACUUGAGCAUAUCAAU
rnacentral:rRNA from 1 species